UGAUUCUCCCGCUCCAGACAGUCGCAGGUUAAGAUCCUCCCUGUCCCCGGUUCCUACUGCGUUUGAGCGGUGCAAUAAGGAAACCAUCAGAAUGGGCACACCACGAUCAGGGCCGUCCUGGAACACCUGGAGCGUCUUGCAUGUUGGGCACUGUGAACACUACACAGUAAGGACUGAAGUUGCAGGAGUGUGAUGUUUUUCUUUAGAGAACAUACAGAUCUCAAUGGCUUCAGUAUGAGGAACGUGUCUUACAAUCAAUAAGUACACCUCUGAAGGGGCUGGAGGUUCAGUCCAUCAGAGGCCGGCUUCCCCUCUGCUGCCAGAGCCUGGAUUACUCUGGAGGGACCCUCUUUCCCUGAUGGUCAGCGCA